UACGUAGGUCCCGAGCGUUGUCCGGAUUUAUUGGGCGUAAAGCGAGCGCAGGUGGUUUAUUAAGUCUGGUGUAAAAGGCAGUGGCUCAACCAUUGUAUGCAUUGGAAACUGGUAGACUUGAGUGCAGAAGAGGAGAGUGGAAUUCCAUGUGUAGCGGUGAAAUGCGUAGAUAUAUGGAAGAACACCAGUGGCGAAAGCGGCUCUCUGGUCUGUAACUGACGCUGAGGUUCGAAAGCGUGGGUAGCAAACAGG
rnacentral:rRNA from 1 species